rnacentral:rRNA from 1 species
AAAUUGAAGAGUUUGAUCAUGGCUCAGAUUGAACGCUGGCGGCAGGCCUAACACAUGCAAGUCGAACGGUACAGGAAUCAGCUUGCUGAUUCGCUGACGAGUGGCGGACGGGUGAGUAAUGUCUGGGAAACUGCCUGAUGGAGGGGGAUAACUACUGGAAACGGUAGCUAAUACCGCAUAACGUCGCAAGACCAAAGAGGGGGACCUUCGGGCCUCUUGCCAUCAGAUGUGCCCAGAUGGGAUUAGCUAGUAGGUGGGGUAACGGCUCACCUAGGCGACGAUCCCUAGCUGGUCUGAGAGGAUGACCAGCCACACUGGAACUGAGACACGGUCCAGACUCCUACGGGAGGCAGCAGUGGGGAAUAUUGCACAAUGGGCGCAAGCCUGAUGCAGCCAUGCCGCGUGUAUGAAGAAGGCCUUCGGGUUGUAAAGUACUUUCAGCGGGGAGGAAGGGGGUAAAGUUAAUACCUUUGCUCAUUGACGUUACCCGCAGAAGAAGCACCGGCUAACUCCGUGCCAGCAGCCGCGGUAAUACGGAGGGUGCAAGCGUUAAUCGGAAUUACUGGGCGUAAAGCGCACGCAGGCGGUUUGUUAAGUCAGAUGUGAAAUCCCCGGGCUCAACCUGGGAACUGCAUCUGAUACUGGCAAGCUUGAGUCUCGUAGAGGGGGGUAGAAUUCCAGGUGUAGCGGUGAAAUGCGUAGAGAUCUGGAGGAAUACCGGUGGCGAAGGCGGCCCCCUGGACGAAGACUGACGCUCAGGUGCGAAAGCGUGGGGAGCAAACAGGAUUAGAUACCCUGGUAGUCCACGCCGUAAACGAUGUCGACUUGGAGGUUGUGCCCUUGAGGCGUGGCUUCCGGAGCUAACGCGUUAAGUCGACCGCCUGGGGAGUACGGCCGCAAGGUUAAAACUCAAAUGAAUUGACGGGGGCCCGCACAAGCGGUGGAGCAUGUGGUUUAAUUCGAUGCAACGCGAAGAACCUUACCUGGUCUUGACAUCCACGGAAGUUUUCAGAGAUGAGAAUGUGCCUUCGGGAACCGUGAGACAGGUGCUGCAUGGCUGUCGUCAGCUCGUGUUGUGAAAUGUUGGGUUAAGUCCCGCAACGAGCGCAACCCUUAUCCUUUGUUGCCAGCGGUCCGGCCGGGAACUCAAAGGAGACUGCCAGUGAUAAACUGGAGGAAGGUGGGGAUGACGUCAAGUCAUCAUGGCCCUUACGACCAGGGCUACACACGUGCUACAAUGGCGCAUACAAAGAGAAGCGACCUCGCGAGAGCAAGCGGACCUCAUAAAGUGCGUCGUAGUCCGGAUUGGAGUCUGCAACUCGACUCCAUGAAGUCGGAAUCGCUAGUAAUCGUGGAUCAGAAUGCCACGGUGAAUACGUUCCCGGGCCUUGUACACACCGCCCGUCACACCAUGGGAGUGGGUUGCAAAAGAAGUAGGUAGCUUAACCUUCGGGAGGGCGCUUACCACUUUGUGAUUCAUGACUGGGGUGAAGUCGUAACAAGGUAACCGUAGGGGAACCUGCGGUUGGAUCACCUCCUUA